UGAAGCAGAAACAGCUGCAGUGAAGUGCUCAUUUGUAAAGCAGUCACCUGGCCUAAGUUCAAGCAUUUUAAAGAAGCAAGGAGGAAGAUAAUGAAUGCCACCUGUUCCCACUUCAAAAUCCUGUUUACAGAACCAAGGAAGAAAAGAAAAAGAGCCACAACAAAUUUGGAAAGAGGAAUAAAAUCACACCAUAAAAAGUAAAGAAAGAAGAGAGCAGCUAGACAAAACUUUAUGGAGAACAAGGAAAUAGACAAGAAAAAGUGGAAUAGGAGAACUGGAGAAAUAGGGAAUUCUAAAAAAAAAAUACAAACUGGAAAAAUUGAACAGGGAAAACAGAGGAGCUAAAUUCAGUGUUUGUUGAGUGUUUAUCAUUCUAUGUAAGUAAAUCACAAAAUAUUUAUAAAGCAUAGGAUGUGUGAGACACCAGGUUUCUCUGAGAAUUC